AUACUCAUUGGCAGGAAGACACCAUGAUCAGGUGGGUGGUUUUCCCAGGGUGAGGCUCAUCCCCAGCACUCCGGGUGCGCCAACCCCUAUGAUUUCCUCAAAUGCAGGAAAGUCGACUGCCUAAUUUGUGGGAGUGGUAAUUUUUUUUUUUUUUUUUUCAU
rnacentral:snRNA from 1 species